CACACAAUAGCUUAAUUCAAAGCACUAAACUUUUAAUUUAGAGAUAAGAAAGACUUUUGUGUGG
rnacentral:tRNA from 1 species